ensembl:lncRNA
GGUCGGGGUCAUCAUCAUCAUUUGUCACGGCUAUGUAUGCAGCAACAGUGGAAACAAUUAUACAGUUAAUCAUGAGUUUUAGACAUGGCAGGAUACAUGUUACAAAAACACAAAAUAAAAGUGAAAAUACAAAAAGGGAUAAAUAGAAUAAAUAAGAAUAAGAAUACAAAGGAAUUGCAAGUAUUUCAAGUAUUUCAAAUAUUGAAGUCUAUUGCACCGUUGGUUUUUAACAAAAAGUAUUGCACAGUGAAAAGGGAGUAGUCUUUUUAGCAGUCACUUGUAUUAUUUACAUAAUCCUGAUUUUGGGCCUGCUGGAUCUGUCUCAAGGCGUUCAGGGCAUCAGUCAUGUUUGAUGAGUGUACAUUGUCUGAUGUGUGUGUGUGUCAUUUCUCACUCAAUCAACAAGUGCACGUCUGUUCAGGUGUGUGUUUCUCUUCAUUUUGAGUCAGUGUGUGUAGAUGUGUAUGUUUGCGUGUUUAUCACUUUCCUGUUCUGGUGUUUUGGGUAAACCAUGGCCUGAAGCGUGCCCUGGGGUCCUGCCCUCCUCCUUUUCAGUCCGGUUGUGACCAUUGCUGCUGCUGUUCAAAGUUCAGUCUGUCCUGGUCCUGGCCCCAAUUCGGGCAGUCCUUUCUCCAGUGUCCAUGCUCACCGCAGGUGAAACCUGCAUCUUCUUCUGUGUUUUGUCCAUUCUGAGGUGCCUUUUGACCUCAGUUGCUCCUCCUGUCUCUGGCACGCCCUUUCUUCUGCUGCCCGAUCAUCCGUGUUGGUCCAUCACUGUCCUGUACAGUGUUAAUGCAGAGUUAUCAAGGUCAGCAUUCUUUUGCUCGGCCUUACUUUUCAUUCGGGCUUAAUGGGCGUCUCGUCACAGCUCUGUCAGCUGAAGCUGUCUGGAAAUCUCCUCCGUGUAGUGAAACGGGCCUUGGAUUUAACGCUCUCCGUCUCUGCUGCAUGAGAUCGCUUUCCUGUAGCACUGUUGACAUUUUUAGAUUGUUGUUAUGGGUCCAGCUGCUGCAGCAUUUGGUCAGGGUCAAGGUCAGAGAGGGGAGAGCAGGAGUCCAGGUCAGCUUUGGCUUUCAGGGCCGGCAAAGCAGCCUGUAAUUAAACAUAAAGAAAAACAAAACAAAACAAAACAGACGAACAGGAAAAUGAUGUUGUAUUGGCUGUGUUAUUCAGAGAGGGGAGAAACACCGGGCCAGGCCCUGUGUCAGCCUUCUCUCCCCCCUUUUUUUGUGUUUUUCCUCACAAUAUAAUCAACUCAUAACCCACCAAGUUGACAGGACAACACAGGUAGAUAUUAAAAUUCGUAAGAUCACGUUUAAAAGCACAAAAAAGGAAUUUUCCUUCCUUCAGUAAUCACUUGUAUGAUUCAAUCAGCAGAAAACAUCUCACAAUUUGACUCUUAACCACUAAAUUUGUUGUUUCAUCACUGGUUGGUCAUACCAGUCUCGUUCUUUUUGAAGUUGUUGUCCUGCAACCCAGAAAGUUUAUUUGUUAGUAGUGGAUAAACUUCAGUAUUUGAUAACAAAACUAUUAAGUUUUCCCCGUUUUAACACUAAUGUGAGAUAUAGGCGCAUGUAUAGUGUGUGCUGUAGUGUAAGCUGUUCUUCAUUGCAUGUAUGUGUGUUAGUAGCUUGCAUGCAAGGCCUCUGGGCCUGUCUCACCCAAAAAAGCAUUUUCUCAACAGUUGCCUUUCUCUCGCGUGUGUCAAGAAAGGCAAAUGUGCUUGUAGCAGUUGUGAGAUUAUUAUGCUGUUAUAUAUUACAUUAUACCUGUAAUCAAAAUGAGGGAAUCAUGAUACUGCUGUAGGCCACAUCAUACUUCUGAGUUAAAAGAAUGUGAAAAUCAUUAGAUCUAUUAGAUAGGUUUGUAUUAUCCUAUACUGCUGAUUUACUGUGAGUGAGUUACACUGUUUCAUGACAUUUCAUACUGCCGAGUUAUGAAAAGAAUAUUGUAUUCAGAGAGUAGGGGCCUCUCUCUGUUUUUUUUUUUUGUGAUAGUAAAAAGAACAGAGCACAUGCCACGGGAGCAUCACCCCCACCUUUGGUGGAAGCAGAAAAACAGGGAGCCAAGGUCAUAACUCAGGCUCACAAAGAGUUAGAAAAAAAUAUGAAUGCUUAGUUUGUGGGUGUGGCGCAUUUUGUAUGGCUUCUUUUCUUUGUUUAGUAGCUUUCUGCCUUCACCUGAGGGUGUGCCCUAAGCAUGUGACGUCAGGUCUCCAUAAUUGGAGUUUAUUUAAAGAUAAAUAAGAUGAUUUCAUUUAUUGCUCGCAGAUCAUGCACUAAAUGGUAUUUUGCAGUAUUAGCUGUCUUCACCACUUAGACAAAACAUCACUCUUUGUUUUAUUAUUAUUAUUACUAUUAUUUUAAAUUCUCCUUUCUCAAAAACAUAAAAUGAAAUUGUAGUUGUUCUUUGCUGAGAAACACAAAACCUCCCUUUUUUCCCUUUUUUCUUUAUCAAAACAAGAAACUAAGUUUUAACUUUUCUGCCUUGUCACCUAAAACAAAACAGACAACCCAGCUCUCAGCUGGCUCUGGACUUAUCAUCAUCAAGGUCGCAUGGUGAGAGCUACUUCAGAAGUUACAGCACUCAUCACUCAAGCAACAUUUCAAAAAAACAAAAGAAACAAAAACAAAACUUAGCACACUGCACAGAGAACAACAACAAUACACAACUGAAGAUGUUGUUCUUGUUUGUUCUCCUUGAAUUUUAGAAUAAAGUUAUUACAUCUGCAUUAGUAAAUCAUAUGCCUAAUCAUUAUGUGUCACUGUGAUCCACAAGUAUGAUCACAAAUUUAUUCAUUUU